rnacentral:rRNA from 1 species
UAGAUACCCUACUAUGCUUGGCAAAAACAAGACCGAAAAACACACUUCGGUCCGCCAGAUUAUUACGAGUGAAAACUUAAAACUCAAAGGACUUGACGGUGUCCCACACACAACCUAGAGGAGCCUGUCCUAUAAUCGAUGAUCCACGAAGGACCUAACCACUUUUAGCCUAACAGCCUAUAUACCGCCGUCGAAAGUCCACCCUAUGAAGGAAAAACAGUGAGCACAGUUAGCCCACCUAAAUACGUCAGGUCAAGGUGUAGUCAAUAAAGUGGCCAGAGAUGGGCUACAUUUCCUUUCAAAGGAAAUACGAACGGCCGAAUGAAAUUUGGGCCUGAAGAAGGAUUUAGUAGUAAAACAGGAUCAGCAAGCCUGCUUGAACACACUGCCCUGGGACGCGUACACACCGCCCGUCACCCCCAUCAACACACCCAAACAAAUAAAUAAAAAGUAGAGAAAAGAAAGAUUGGGCAAGUCGUAAC